rnacentral:tRNA from 1 species
GGUGGUAUAGCCAAAGGGUUAAGGCGAAAGUCUGCAAAACUUUUAUUGUAGGUUCGAUUCCUACUACCACCUCCA